rnacentral:rRNA from 1 species
AGGAGCUUGCUCCUCUGACGUUAGCGGCGGACGGGUGAGUAACACGUGGAUAACCUACCUAUAAGACUGGGAUAACUUCGGGAAACCGGAGCUAAUACCGGAUAACAUGUUGAACCGCAUGGUUCAACAGUGAAAGACGGUCUUGCUGUCACUUAUAGAUGGAUCCGCGCCGCAUUAGCUAGUUGGUAAGGUAACGGCUUACCAAGGCAACGAUGCGUAGCCAACCUGAGAGGGUGAUCGGCCACACUGGAACUGAGACACGGUCCAGACUCCUACGGGAGGCAGCAGUAGGGAAUCUUCCGCAAUGGGCGAAAGCCUGACGGAGCAACGCCGCGUGAGUGAUGAAGGUCUUCGGAUCGUAAAACUCUGUUAUUAGGGAAGAACAAAUGUGUAAGUAACUAUGCACGUCUUGACGGUACCUAAUCAGAAAGCCACGGCUAACUACGUGCCAGCAGCCGCGGUAAUACGUAGGUGGCAAGCGUUAUCCGGAAUUAUUGGGCGUAAAGCGCGCGUAGGCGGUUUUUUAAGUCUGAUGUGAAAGCCCACGGCUCAACCGUGGAGGGUCAUUGGAAACUGGAAAACUUGAGUGCAGAAGAGGAAAGUGGAAUUCCAUGUGUAGCGGUGAAAUGCGCAGAGAUAUGGAGGAACACCAGUGGCGAAGGCGACUUUCUGGUCUG